rnacentral:rRNA from 1 species
AAACCAACAGGGAUUGCCCCAGUAACGGCGAGUGAAGCGGCAACAGCUCAAAUUUGAAAUCUGGCCCCCCGGCCCGAGUUGUAAUUUGGAGAGGAUGCUUUUGGCACGGCGCCGUCCGAGUUCCUUGGAACAGGACGCCACAGAGGGUGAGAGCCCCGUACGGACGGACGCCUAGCCUUUACAAAGCUCCUUCGACGAGUCGAGUAGUUUGGGAAUGCUGCUCAAAAUGGGAGGUAAAUUUCUUCUAAAGCUAAAUACCGGCCAGAGACCGAUAGCGCACAAGUAGAGUGAUCGAAAGAUGAAAAGCACUUUGAAAAGAGGGUUAAAAAGUACGUGAAAUUGUUGAAAGGGAAGCGCCUGUGACCAGACUUGCGCCCCGUGGACCAUCCGGCGUUCUCGCCGGUGCACUCCGCGGGGCGCAGGCCAGCAUCGGUUCUCCUAGGGGGAUAAAGGCCGCGGGAACGUAGCUCCUUCGGGAGUGUUAUAGCCCGUGGUGGCAUGCCCCUGGGGGGACCGAGGA